UACGUAGGGUGCGAGCGUUAAUCGGAAUUACUGGGCGUAAAGCGUGCGCAGGCGGUUCGUUAAGUCAGAUGUGAAAGCCCCGGGCUCAACCUGGGAACUGCAUUUGAAACUGGCGGGCUUGAGUAUGGCAGAGGGGGGUGGAAUUCCGCGUGUAGCAGUGGAAUGCGUAGAGAUGUGGAGGAACACCGAUGGCGAAGGCAGCCCCCUGGGUCAAGAUUGACGCUCAUGCACGAAAGCGUGGGGAGCAAACAGG
rnacentral:rRNA from 1 species